rnacentral:lncRNA from 1 species
AUGCUUUCAGUGUUUCUCUUUGAAUAUAGGUAUAAAACAUGUUCUGCCAGGCAGAUACCAAGGAAACUCAGGAAUCUUGAGUCCCACAUACCCACUGCCUUCUCCCAAAUCACCAAUCUUCCUUGCAGAGAAGCGAAGGAGGAUCUUGAAAGAGGCCAGCGCUUCUGUCUAGCUCAGAUGCUUCCAAAAAUAAACAGGAGAGGGUGUCAGGUACACAGAUAUCCUGAAGCUAUAAAUCCAGAAAAAUUAACCCAGAUGCUGGCCGCAUUCCCAUGGGGUUUCUGGCCUGGGGCUAGAAUUGAUUAUCAGACUCUGCUAUCCAGGGAACGAGAUCACCAAGUUGCCUGGAGUGGACACCUCAAACCAGCUGGACCAAUGCAACUCUCUCUUCUCCAAUUUUGGGAUUCAGUGACUGGAACUUGGAAAUCACGGCACAAAUAUUUUUUUCGGGUUUUUACAACAUAUA